CCAUCUUUCAAUAUCUCCGUCUCCGUCUCUCGCUCUCAAUCUCUCUUCCUCUUUAUCGUUGAAGAUUCAUUAAAAUUAACCACAAGAAGAAUUUUUUUCUCUUUGUCCUGGUCUCUCUACCUCGAUUCAAAGCGGCGAAGAAAACCUAAAAUCCAUAACACAGACUCCUCUUCAAACAUCAUUAUCAAUAGCGGACGAUGAUCAAGAUAUGGGUGGUUGAAGAUUAGCAGAGAAAACUAUCCUCGAGUCACUAAAGGAUGGUGGCAUCCUUAUUGGGGUUCAGGUUGGGUGUCGUAUCUGCACUGAAUUCUCAAAAGUAUUGAUGCCCUAGGUGCUGCUGGAAGCACCAAAAGUCUUGAUUGGUUUUCUCGUUGGAGCUCUGCUUCCAUACUGGUUUUCUGCUAUGACCAUGCAUGAAGAUUGUAGGAAGCUCUUAAGAUGGUGAAAGAACUUCGCAGGAAAUUUAUCACCUUUCCUCGUCUUAUAGAAGACGAAGCAGUUAUCAGGAUUGUCGAGGACAAGCAGAUAUUGAAUUAGAUAAAUAAACAAGUAGAAUUCAGGUAAUCUUAUUUGUAUUGCUGGAACUCAGAUUUUUAGAUGAGAAAAGAGUCAUCUGCCUAAGCAGUUAUGAAUCAUCCGACAGUUGACCUCACCAUGAACCUAAGUAUCAUCGAACAAAUCGAUUAACAUAUAUUGAUUCAAACAAUGUUUUUUUUUUUAAUGUAGAAUGGAUGAAUGUAUGUUUACUUUUUUUGAAUAGAGAAUGGAUGUUUGAAUUGGAUUGAAUGACAA